rnacentral:rRNA from 1 species
CGUGCCUACGGGGGGCAGCAGUCGGGAAUAUUGCGCAAUGGAGGAAACUCUGACGCAGUGACGCCGCGUAUGGGAAGAAGGUUUUCGGAUUGUAAACCGCUUUCAGCAGGGAAGGACCAUGACGGUACCUGCAGAAGAAGCCCCGGCUAACUACGUGCCAGCAGCCGCGGUAAUACGUAGGGGGCGAGCGUUAUCCGGAUUCAUUGGGCGUAAAGCGCGCGUAGGCGGCCCGCUAAGCGGGACCUCUAACCUGGGGGCUCAACCUCCAGCCGGGUCCCGAACUGGCGAGCUCGAGUGCGGUAGGG